rnacentral:lncRNA from 1 species
CUGAUUGUUUCUAUUUACAUGUACAUAUUUACAAUAUACAAUUUACGUUCGUUUUUCAACCGAGAAUAGCAAAACCUCAUGAAGUAUAUCGCUGGAGUUUAUUAACUACAUUUAAUUCCCCUGUGCCAUGGUUUGCCAUCUCCGUUUUUUUUUAACAAAGUAUGGUUGGUUACAUGUUAAGAAUUUACUUACAAUUUCGGGAUUUUUUUCUC